UACAGAGACUCCAAGCGUUAUUCGGAUUCACUGGGCGUAAAGGGAGCGCAGGCGGCCAGAUGUGUCAGAUGUGAAAUACUGCAGCUUAACUGUAGAACUGCAUUUGAAACUAUCUGGCUAGAGUAUCGGAGAGGUAAGCGGAAUUCCAGGUGUAGCAGUGAAAUGCGUAGAUAUCUGGAGGAACACCAAUGGCGAAGGCAGCUUACUGGACGAUUACUGACGCUCAGGCUCGAAAGCAUGGGGAGCGAAA
rnacentral:rRNA from 1 species